UCGCCGCUAAACGCGUUUACGUACUCGGUCUCGGUAUUCAGGUAUAUAUCGGUCUUCGGAUGAACUCGGGCCGUUUCGAGGGUAUAAAUAGGACCUGGAAGCGAAGCCGCCGUCAUCAUUUCCAAACCUUCGGCGGUCGAAAUUUGUGUUCGAGAUUUUUUCGGAGUGAAAAGUCUUGUUUGUAUUUUAUUUCUUUGUAACCGUGAUAACAAAAAUAUUGGUGUCAAUGUUAUUGGUAAAGUCGGAUUCGGCGUUGAAAUUCAUCCCAUCUGUAAGGCUAAUCAACAACCUUAGCCUUCGCAAAGGUAGCCGCACCGGCAACUCGGGAAAUCCGCUGGAAUUUCAAGUGCUCACACAAAUUCAGUACGUACCCUGAACACCGCCGCUGUGCCGUUUUCCGCCCAGUCCCCCACCCAAAUUUAACAACCACGACUCGGCCCGUCUAGAUCCUGAAACCUUCCAAGGACACUCCUUUCAAAGAGCACAAGUUGAAGAGAAGAAACUCAAAAAACCACCGAAAAUGGUACAAGAAAAGUGGAGCAAGGCCGCUGGCCAUCAGACCAACGGUUCGACCACCCAUCGGCAGCCGGAGAAAUUUGGUUCUACUCAAAAAUCGAACAUGACCGCUCCGGGGUCCACGUUUGGCAGCAUCAACAGAACGGAUAACCGGAGCCAGUCGUCGGGCGGAAACAACGCAUCGGCCUGGGGACCGCAUUUCAAAAAUCGCGAUCAUUUUAUCAGCAUGCAUUUCUGUUAAUCGAUCAGUAUUCUUUUUUUUUCGUUUGAUAUUUAGUCCCUAAAUUCAUAAUAAACAACUUUUUGAAGACAACGAAAA